AUUGAACGCUGGCGGAAUGCUUUACACAUGCAAGUCGAGCGGCAGCGCGGUCUUCGGACUGGCGGCGAGCGGCGAACGGGUGAGUAAUACAUCGGAACAUGCCCAGUCGUGGGGGAUAACACUUCGAAAGAAGUGCUAAUACCGCAUACGUCCUGAGGGAGAAAGCGGGGGAUCGCAAGACCUCGCGCGAUUGGAGUGGCCGAUGUCAGAUUAGCUAGUUGGUGGGGUAAAGGCCUACCAAGGCAACGAUCUGUAGCUGGUCUGAGAGGAUGAUCAGCCACACUGGGACUGAGACACGGCCCAGACUCCUACGGGAGGCAGCAGUGGGGAAUUUUGGACAAUGGGGGCAACCCUGAUCCAGCCAUUCCGCGUGAGUGAAGAAGGCCUUCGGGUUGUAAAGCUCUUUCGGCAGGAACGAAACGGCGAGCUCUAACAUAGCUCGCUAAUGACGGUACCUGAAGAAGAAGCACCGGCUAACUACGUGCCAGCAGCCGCAGUAACAC
rnacentral:rRNA from 1 species